CCAGACUCCUACGGGAGGCAGCAGUGAGGAAUAUUGGUCAAUGGGCUUACGCCUGAACCGGCCAAGUCGCGUGAGGGAAGACGGCCCUAUGGGUUGUAAACCUCUUUUGUCGGAGAACAAAACCCGGGACGAGUCCCGGACUGCGUGUAUCCGAAGAAAAAGCAUCGGCUAACUCCGUGCCAGCAGCCGCGGUAAUACGGAGGAUGCGAGCGUUAUCCGGAUUUAUUGGGUUUAAAGGGUGCGUAGGCGGGAUGCCAAGUCAGCGGUAAAAAUGCGGUGCUCAACGCCGUCGAGCCGUUGAAACUGGUUUUCUUGAGUGAGUGAGAAGUAUGCGGAAUGCGUGGUGUAGCGGUGAAAUGCAUAGAUAUCACGCAGAACUCCGAUUGCGAAGGCAGCAUACCGGCGCUCAACUGACGCUCAUGCACGAAAGUGUGGGUAUCGAACAGGAUUAGAUACCCUCGUAC
rnacentral:rRNA from 1 species